AUAGCUUUCAGGACUGGCUAUUGCUUAAACUGGUCAACAAUUAAUACAGUGAUUUAUCUUUAUGUUGUUAUUGCCAUGAUGAAACCUAUUACAGAAUAUAUAUCAGAAUAUAUAUAGCCUAUAUAUAUCAGAAUAUAUAUUUUUAAAGUGUAGUAUUAUUAUAAUUAUUAAUCGGAAGAAAAAUACGAAGAAGAAGAAGAAGAAGUGCUCUCGUGCGUUCUGCUCCCGCGCAACGCAAGAAGCGGUGAUUUUAAAAAAAACGGCUUCAUAUGACUUCCCCAUUAAAGAACAUCCAGUAUACUUUAUUCCUCUGAAAUACAGGUUUCACUGAGCUGCAACAAAUCCUCCACAGAACCUCACACCAACAAUGGUGAUUACAGGAGACCCAUUUGGUGAAAGCAGCAUUGCGGUUUUUCUUCAUGGCGAAGAACUGCUUGCUGAUGAACCUGAUGACAUAACAAUGGGUGUAGGCCUUACUAUGAGUGCCUACUUUCUGUUCAACAUUAAGUACAGGAAACCAACUAAAAGUACACUGACUUUUCUGCAGUAUCUGUUGGGCAUUCAGAAGGAGAGCAUCAAGCUACCUACAGUUGUGUUGAGGCUUAUCAAUUUCUUAAAAUGUCCUGUGUGAAUAUUCCCAGAGUGAAAAUGUUACCAUUGACUGCAUUGUAAAUUGAAUUGUAGUCAAUUUGAAUUUUAGGCUACUGUUUUUGAGGAACCUGAAAUAUAUUCGAAAGUUUUAAGAUAUUUGAGUCAUAUUUAUAUUUUACAGUUUUGUCAAGAUUUAAACUCUUAAUGUAUCACAAUAUUAACAUUAUACAUGUGCUUCCAUGAAUUAGAUGUUGAUACAUUUAUUUAUUGACUAUAAGGUGAUUAUUUAUUGAACUUUUUAUUUGUA